rnacentral:rRNA from 1 species
UACGGGGGGAGCAAGCGUUGUUCGGAAUUAUUGGGCGUAAAGAGCUCGUAGGUGGCUUGUCACGUCGGGUGUGAAAGCUUGGGGCUUAACUCCAGGUCUGCAUUCGAUACGGGCUGGCUAGAGGUAGGUAGGGGAGAACGGAAUUCCUGGUGUAGCGGUGAAAUGCGCAGAUAUCAGGAGGAACACCGGUGGCGAAGGCGGUUCUCUGGGCCUUACCUGACGCUGAGGAGCGAAAGCGUGGGGAGCGAACAGG